UACGGGGGGGGCAAGCGUUGCUCGGAAUCACUGGGCGUAAAGGGUGCGUAGGCGGUUCUUUAAGUCAGGGGUGAAAUCCUGGAGCUCAACUCCAGAACUGCCUUUGAUACUGAAGAUCUUGAGUUCGGGAGAGGUGAGUGGAACUGCGAGUGUAGAGGUGAAAUUCGUAGAUAUUCGCAAGAACACCAGUGGCGAAGGCGGCUCACUGGCCCGAUACUGACGCUGAGGCACGAAAGCGUGGGGAGCAAACAGG
rnacentral:rRNA from 1 species